rnacentral:rRNA from 1 species
UACGGAGGGAGCUAGCGUUAUUCGGAAUUACUGGGCGUAAAGCGCACGUAGGCGGCUUUGUAAGUCAGAGGUGAAAGCCUGGAGCUCAACUCCAGAACUGCCUUUGAGACUGCAUCGCUUGAAUCCAGGAGAGGUGAGUGGAAUUCCGAGUGUAGAGGUGAAAUUCGUAGAUAUUCGGAAGAACACCAGUGACGAAGGCGGCUCACUGGACUGGUAUUGACGCUGAGGUGCGAAAGCGUGGGGAGCAAACAGG